rnacentral:rRNA from 1 species
UACGAAGGGGGCUAGCGUUGCUCGGAAUGACUGGGCGUAAAGAGCUCGUAGGCGGCCUGUUGCGUCCGCUGUGAAAUCCCGGGGCUCAACCCUGGGCGUGCAGUGGAUACGGGCAGGCUGGAGGCAGGCAGGGGAGAACGGAAUUCCCGGUGUAGCGGUGAAAUGCGCAGAUAGUCGGGAGGAACACCGGUGGCGAAGGCGGUUCUGCUGGGCCUGUGCUGACGCUGAGG